CUUUUAGAAAAAUGUCAGGCACUGUGAUUUACCCCACAUUUCUUUCCACAUUCUUCAGGAACACAAUGUUGAUUUUGCUUAGGAAUCUACCUUUUGAGCAGGUGACCUUGUCAUGCUCUCUGGGGUAAGUCCCGGGUGAGGUUGGGCUCCCUGGGCUGGGAUUUGCCUCUGCAGACCCCUAUUAGGAAGCACUCAGGAUAACCCACCCUGGGAGGGAGUGGCACAGAGGCCUCCGAGGAGGCUCCAGCCUAGGCCACGGGAGCUCCGAUGCGUGGAGAUGCCUCCUGGGAUGUCCUGAAUUCAGACAGAGCCUGGGUCACGUUCUCCACAUCAAGCCGACAUCAGGCGUGGACUGCGCCGGGAGGGGACAUGAGCUUGGGCAAGGCAGCUUUCUUCCAUGGCCUGGGUGCUCAGCUGGGGCCCUCAGCUGGCAGCACGCCCAGAGGCUAACAGAGCAUUUCGUUUUUGAUGGGGGCCUCUCUGAAAUGCUGAAUAAUAUGAUGCUGUUCUUUCAAAACUAUCGGCUUCCAAAGCCUAUGAAGAAGUCUAGAGAUGCAAUGUACAACAUGAGGAGAGUAGUUAAUAAUACUGUAUUGUGUGCAGGCACUUUACCAAGAGAGUAGAUUUUAGGUACUCAAAAAAAAAAGAAAGAGGGAGAGAGAAAGAAAGAAAAAGGAAAGAGAAAGAAAGAAAAAGAAAGAAAGGAAGGAAAGAAAGAAGGAAGGAAAGAAAGAAAGAAGGAUGGAAAGAGAGAAAGAAAGAAAGAGAAAGAAAGAAAGAAGGAUGGAAAGAGAGAAAGAAAGAAAGAGAAAGAAAGAAAGAAAGAAAAAGAAAAGAAGGAAGGAAGGAAGGAUGGAAGGAAGGAAAAGGAGCAAAGAAAGAGAAAGAAAACUCUAUGAGAUGAUGGGCAUGUUAGUUUGUUUGACUGUGGUAUAUAUAGAUAAAUAUAUCAAAAUAUCAUAUAAACCUUAAGUAUCUAAAAAAUAAAAAUAAACUAAGAGAAUUGUACAAAGCACUGGGCAAUCAGGUAAGGCGUCUGUGGUGGGGUUCGUGGCCCUCUGGGUGUCCUAAGGAUGGAGGGUGUUACCAAUCACUAUCUCGGCUCACCUGCGACCAGACCAACUGUUGCUAGCCAUGACGGUGCCUUGCUACACUGGCAGUAAAUUCUCCUCAAAUGGGAACAAAGGAAACCCCUCUUCCCUGCUAGCAGUGGGGAAGGCGUUCAGUUCCAACCUCCAGGCUAGCCUGAGUCCCCUAGCAAAAAGCCUUUAAAAUAUUGUUUACUCCUAUAAAAAGACACAGAGAUUCCCUCUUUCUUCUGGAUAUGAAGCCUGUGAGAAAUUAAAAAAAAAAAAAAGUAUGCUUUCCUCUUUUAAAUAGUAAAGUAAGUACAAAAUAAUUUAAACUUCUUUUUGAUCAAGGAAUGUGUUAUAUCAGUAAUGUGUGCUCUCCUAGAAGCAGGGGAUCAGCUUUAAUUAAAGGGAAGCUGCAAAGAAAAUCCUUUGAAUGUAAAAUAAUUUUGUUUACACUUUAUGUGGUAGUGUAAUUUUUUUCCUCAUGUUAGCUAAAAAAUUGCAACAUUUAUUUUUAGGGAGCAAAACCAAAAAUAUAUCUGCUAACUAAUCAAGUUGAGACAAAUAACUUACUCAAAAACGUGACUGUUCUUCAUUUAUAAGUGACAAAUAACUGUUAUAUUUUUCUGCCACCCAAAACAAAAAGUUAAAGACUUCCCUGCUGUCAAAUUUACUAAACUAAGAUGUGUUUAUAUAUAGUUUGUAAUCUUUAGGCUCGAGGGAAUUACUUACAAUGAUAAAAUGUUUUUGUUGGAAAUAUGUUAGUGUGAAAUACGUGUCUGUCAGUUUUCUUUUGUAAUUAACAUGACAUAUUUAAAAAUUUCUAUUCCUAAAAAUAAUAAAAAAAAACCAAGGCUUUAACAAUGACUAAAAUGUUUUUUAAUGACUACAAUGCAUUUUAAUGGCAAAAAUUAUCUUUUAGAAAAGUUUAAUGAGAGAAGUUAUAAGGAAAUUGAAAUAUGCCUUACAGUUUCUAAACUUACAUUCAUGUAGGGCUUUGUUUAUCCAAUAGUGUAAUGAAGAAAGUUACUCUGUGGACUGGCGGAGAUGCUAAAGACACAAAAUGAAAAGAAGAGAAGAAUAUGAAGUUGGUGACCCACUGAAGUUGAUUACAUCUGAAGUUACUGUCACUGAAUUUUUAAAUUAUGUAUGAUGAUAAAUUUCCAUUUUGCUCAAACUCCUUGAUAGAGGACUUUAUGUUACAGCCAAAAGCAGUCUAAUUGAUACAGAGAGAUCAAAUAUGCACUGGAAUUAUGUCAGAGGAAGUAUUGUGUAGUGAUUAAGAUUGUGAGUUUUUGCAUCAUUUGGCAGUAGCUUCAUGUGUAUGACUUUGUCAAUUAUUAAAUUAUAAAAUAAAUUUGGAGUGGAAGUGAGGGAGAGGAGUAGAAGGAAGAAAAAAUAUCAAUUCUUUCGCAUGUAGAGAAGCAGAAAUAAUGUGCAAAUUAUCAGGAGAAAUUCUGAAGACAUCAUAAGAAAAAUAACACAAAUAAAAAGUCAUCUUGAAGUGAUGAUGUAAAGAAUAUAAAAUCAGUGUUAAAAAUGAAAGGAAACAUAUCCAAAAUAUUGAUAUAUGUAUAAAGGAAAACUCACAUUUGCAAGUUUGAAAGAUAAGGAUUUCAAAAUAUAGAACACACUUGGCAAAUGAUUCAGUUUAUGUUUUGUACAAGAGACAUAUCUAAAACAAAGAGAAAAGUCAAAAGUUAGAAACAUGGGGAGAUGCAAACAGGCAUGUUAGAUAUACCAACAACAACCACAGCUAUUGCC
rnacentral:lncRNA from 10 species